CAGGACAAUCUGUUGACUGAAGUGGUGAAAAGGUUCAAAGGAAGAAACUGGAAAAGAAUUGAUGGAAGAUGAAACAAGUCGAACGACCAAUGUCAUUGGAAGCGCACCGUUGCUGUUGCUCCUCCAUGUUCAACUUCAGUUUGCAGAUUGUAGUUGUUGUUGUGUGAUGUUUGAUGUGAUAUUCUUGAUGAGCAGCUCCUUCCAGGGUGAUGUGAAUGCACCUUCCAAUUUCCAUAGUUGUAUUUGUACCCUUGUCACACCUACACAAGAAAGAUCAAACAAAUGCAAACAACCAACCAAGCAUAGUUGUCUUUCUCAGAUUGUGCCAAUGUGUUGUGAACUUGUACCUACAGCACCAAUAAACAAACAACCAGAAAAAAUCUCCAAUGUUAUUGAAAUCCUUGAACCCUGAUGGUGGUGCCAUCCAUAAUGUGAUGCAAGUGUUGAUCUUAUAAGAUGCAAAAAUUUGGGUAUUACCGAAUACCGUACCGAACCGAA